CACGGACGGUCCCCGGCGCCGCAAGUGGGUCUGCGCGAACAACAAGCACUGCCUCCCCGGGCGGGCUUCGCACCUGUAGUGCCGUCGGGACACGGGAGGGUAAACCCAGCGUGUCCUGUGUGCCUGUGAGCCGCAGAAUCAUCCACGGACGUCGUUAGUCCUUCCUGGAAUUUCUGCGAUUUACACAACGUCGAAUUGUUUGGCAGAAACGCGUGGCAAACUCCGUUAUCUUUAAAACCUUCCCCAAUUCACUGGCAUAGAAAUUCUUAAAGAAAACGUUUCCUUCUUGAAGCGACCCCUGGGUGUAACUUCAGUGGCGAUGACGGCUGUGAAUUGGGUUUUUUCGCACCGCAGAAGGGCGAGAGAGGUUCCAGAACGGGCACAGGAAGGGAACCGCUAUCUAGAACUGCCUAACCCGAAAUUGCCCAUUUAAAUAAUGAAGUACAUACCGAAAAGGAAAAGGAGGGGAAAUCUGGAAAACAGGAAAGUCAAGGCUAAGGAAGUUAUCACAGUAAUCCAGAUACGAGGUAUGGUGAUGUUCCAUGAUCA
rnacentral:lncRNA from 1 species